AACGAACGCUGGCGGCAGGCCUAACACAUGCAAGUCGAGCGGACAUCUUCGGAUGUUAGCGGCGGACGGGUGAGUAACGCGUGGGAACGUGCCCUUUGCUUCGGAAUAGCCUCGGGAAACUGGGAGUAAUACCGGAUGUACCCUUUGGGGGAAAGAUUUAUCGGCAAAGGAUCGGCCCGCGUUGGAUUAGGUAGUUGGUGGGGUAAUGGCCUACCAAGCCGACGAUCCAUAGCUGGUUUGAGAGGAUGAUCAGCCACACUGGGACUGAGACAUGGCCCAGACUCCUACGGGAGGCAGCAGUGGGGAAUCUUAGACAAUGGGGGAAACCCUGAUCUAGCCAUGCCGCGUGAGCGAUGAAGGCCUUAGGGUUGUAAAGCUCUUUCACCGGGGAAGAUAAUGACGGUACCCGGAGAAGAAGCCCCGGCUAACUCCGUG
rnacentral:rRNA from 1 species